UUGGAGGGCAAGUCUGGUGCCAGCAGCCGCGGUAAUUCCAGCUCCAAUAGCGUAUAUUAAAGUUGUUGCAGUUAAAAAGCUCGUAGUUGAAUUUCGGGAUCAAUACGUCGGUCGUGCUUCGGUACGUACUGGCGUAAUUGAUUUCUCCCUUCUGACGAACCAUGAUGUCAUUAACUUGGUGUCAUGGGAAAUCAGGACUGUUACUUUGAAAAAAUUAGAGUGUUUAAAGCAGGCUCACGCUUGAAUACAUUAGCAUGGAAUAAUGAAAUAGGACGUUCGAUCCUAUUUUGUUGGUUUUUAGGAUCAACGUAAUGAUUAAUAGGGAUAGUUGGGGGCAUUAGUAUUCAAUUGUCAGAGGUGAAAUUCUUGGAUUUAUUGAAGACUAACUACUGCGAAAGCAUUUGCCAAGGAUGUUUUCAUUAAUCAAGAACGAAAGUUAGGGGAUCGAAGACGAUCAGAUACCGUCGUAGUCUUAACCAUAAACUAUGCCGACUAGGGAUCGGACGAUGUUAAUUUUUUAAUGACUCGUUCGGCGCCUUACGGGAAAC
rnacentral:rRNA from 1 species